UUUCGGACAAAGCUAUAUAAUCUCCAAAUAAAUCAAAUAUGUAAUGUUUAAAAAGAAGGAAAAAUAAAACGACGUGAAAUACCCGCUAACAUUCGCACGCACUACGACGAAAGGUCCGUGACGCAUGCAAAGGCUUGAAGGUCAUAACAAAUGUGUGUUUUUGUAACAGCAGCCACAACUUGCAGUAUAGCCUGGUAUUUCCCUGGGAGUUUCCACCCUAUUCCUGUCCCAUAGAAUCCAGUUCCCCCACUGGUUCCUCAGGAACUAAACUUGGUUGCUGUGUCCCGUCUGCUAUUAAAUCAUUCACCCAGCAAUGCUACGAAGAGUCUCAACCUCGUCUGUCCUGCUUAGGAUCUACCCUCCAUGAGUCAGCAAGAACACGUACAGCGUUUCUCUUUGGAGUAGAGAUAAUGUUCACCGAGUGACUUUUGCAUAGGGCCUCUUCUGGUCAAGUGACAGGCUUUUUCAAAAACAAAGUCAAAUGUUGCAUGUUUGUACAGGUAGAACAAAUUUACAUAUAACUCCGUUUACACUACGCCCCUUGAGAGCUGCUGACGGUGUGACGGCGAGCUGUGACUCACACACGUCUCCGUCUUGCGCAGACAUCUUCACACACACGCACGUCUUGAGUUAUAUAGUCAAGGUGACAUACAGAGCAGUUAGAUUGUCUAAUAUGGUCAAGCCAGUUGAACUGUUAGAACUAAUUAAACACAUACCAGUAUGCAAUAUGUCAC
ensembl:lncRNA